CGUCUCAGCUUCCCAGGAGAAAAAUCCUGGGUGAAGGGAUUUUUUCAGAGAAUGGGAAUGCCAUAGGAGAGUUGCCAAAGCAGAGCAAGGCAGGUGCCUGCUGCUUCCAGUCCUCUGUGUUGUGUUCUUGUGAUCUGUGACAUGCAGCCAUGGACAUCCUCUGGGUUUGUGGCACUCAGCUGAAAGCUGCAGGAUCAGACAAGGGAUGGGGAGGCAGGAGCUGUGUCUGCAGCACCAUUCCUUCCCCUCUCUUUGUGCCAGUCCUACACUGAGCAAAGGCUCAGCCCAGGUCAUGGUUAAUGAUGAGCUAGUGUUCAAGUACUUGAAACAUCAAAGUCUUCCCUUCUACACAUUAUUCAUUCCUGCAAAUGUCUCAUAUCAUGCAGUAGGAUGAUCAGAAAGCUCAGUAGCUAAGUCAAACAGGAUUUUAAAUGCAGAAGCAGCUGAAGUUCUCCUCUGAACCAGCAUCCUCAUGCCAAGAUGGAACAUUCUGCAGUAACCACGAGUCGACAGAAGCAAAUAUAAAUGUUGUAAGGCCAACGUUGCACAAGACCAAGCACAGCUUCAAGAAGAGCCUCAGACAACAGCAAGGGAUAAGAUGAGAUGAUGGUGAAACUCCAGUUUAGGUCUUUUCUGCUCAACACAGAUCUCACUGGUGAUCCUCAGAAGACCAGGGGAGAAGAAAAUUCCUCUAGGACAGAAACACAUCUUCUCAAAGAAACUGCACCCUCAGGGGCCUUGC